UACGGGAGGCAGCAGUGGGGAAUAUUGCACAAUGGGCGCAAGCCUGAUGCAGCCAUGCCGCGUGUAUGAAGAAGGCCUUCGGGUUGUAAAGUAUUUUCAGUCGUGAGGAAGGUGUUAAGGUUAAUAACCUUAGCAAUUGACGUUAGCGACAGAAGAAGCACCGGCUAACUCCGUGCCAGCAGCCGCGGUAAUACGGAGGGUGCGAGCGUUAAUCGGAAUUACUGGGCGUAAAGGGCACGCAGGCGGUUAAUUAAGUUGGAUGUGAAAUCCCCGGGCUUAACCUGGGAAUGGCAUUCAAGACUGGUUAGCUAGAGUCUUGUAGAGGGGGUAGAAUUCCAUGUGUAGCGGUGAAAUGCGUAGAGAUGUGGAGGAAUACCGGUGGCGAAGGCGGCCCCUGGACAAAGACUGACGCUCAUGUGCGAAAGCGUGGGGAGCAAACAGGGAUUAGAUACC
rnacentral:rRNA from 1 species